rnacentral:rRNA from 2 species
UUGACCUCGGAUCAGGUAGGGAUACCCGCUGAACUUAAGCAUAUCAAUAAGCGGAGGAAAAGAAACCAACAGGGAUUACCUCAGUAACGGCGAGUGAAGCGGUAACAGCUCAAAUUUGAAAUCUGGCUCUUUUAGGGCCCGAGUUGUAAUUUGUAGAAGAUGCUUUGGGUGUGGCUCCAGUCUAAGUUCCUUGGAACAGGACGUCAUAGAGGGUGAGAAUCCCGUAUGUGACUGGUGGCUUUCGCCCGUGUAAAGCUCUUUCGACGAGUCGAGUUGUUUGGGAAUGCAGCUCAAAAUGGGUGGUAAAUUUCAUCUAAAGCUAAAUAUUGGCCAGAGACCGAUAGCGCACAAGUAGAGUGAUCGAAAGAUGAAAAGCACUUUGGAAAGAGAGUUAAACAGUACGUGAAAUUGUUGAAAGGGAAGCGCUUGCAACCAGACUCGUAUGCUGCUGAUCAUCCGGGGUUCUCCUCGGUGCACUCGGCAGUCUUCGGGCCAGCAUCGGUUUGGGUGGUAGGAUAAAGACCUUAGGAAUGUAGCUUCUCUCGGGGAGUGUUAUAGCCUUCGGUGCAAUGCUGCCUGCCUAGACCGAGGACCGCGCUUCGGCUAGGAUGCUGGCGUAAUGGUUGUAAGCGACCCGUCUUGAAACACGGACCAAGGAGUCUAACAUCUAUGCGAGUAUUUGGGCGUCAAACCCACAUGCGUAAUGAAAGUGAACGGAGGUAAGAACUUUAAAAGAGUGCAUUAUCGACCGAUCCUGAUGUCUUCGGAUGGAUUUGAGUAAGAGCAUAGCUGUUGGGACCCGAAAGAUGGUGAACUAUGCCUAAAUAGGGUGAAGCCAGAGGAAACUCUGGUGGAGGCUCGCAGCGGUUCUGACGUGCAAAUCGAUCGUCAAAUUUGGGUAUAGGGGCGAAAGACUAAUCGACCAU